rnacentral:rRNA from 1 species
GACGAACGCUGGCGGCGUGCUUAACACAUGCAAGUCGAACGGAAAGGCCCUGCUUUUGUGGGGUGCUCGAGUGGCGAACGGGUGAGUAACACGUGAGUAACCUGCCCUUGACUUUGGGAUAACUUCAGGAAACUGGGGCUAAUACCGGAUAGGAGCUCCUGCUGCAUGGUGGGGGUUGGAAAGUUUCGGCGGUUGGGGAUGGACUAGCGGCUUAUCAGCUUGUUGGUGGGGUAGUGGCUUACCAAGGCUUUGACGGGUAGCCGGCCUGAGAGGGUGACCGGCCACAUUGGGACUGAGAUACGGCCCAGACGCCUACGGGAGGCAGCAGUGGGGAAUAUUGCACAAUAGGCGGAAGCCUGAUGCAGCAACGCCGCGUGCGGGAUGACGGCCUUCGGGUUAUAAACCGCUUUCGCCUGUGACGAAGAGUGAGUGACGGUAAUGGGUAAAGAAGCACCGGCUAACUACGUG